rnacentral:misc_RNA from 1 species
GUGUCCCAUUCUUGCUGCUGUAUGGAGCACAGUUUUCCCAUUGUUCCGAGCUAUCUUAACAAGGUUCGAAUCAAUCUCCAGAAGCAGAUUUACGACAUCAACAUGACCCUGGGCAGCUGCUGUAUGUAAGGCUGUAGAAUUGGAUGAAUCUGUAGCCAUAACCAAGUUUGGAAACGAAUGCAAUAGUUCCUUCAGUACUUCAAGAUGACCUUGCUUUGCUGCAACUUGGAAUGCAUCAUAUCCAUUAUUUGCAACAAGAGAAGCAACUUGAAGGUCCAAAUGUUUCAAAAUCUCUACAACAACUAAAGUAUGUCCAUUUUCUGCAGCAAUAUAUAAUGCAGUCUCACCUUGCUGGUUUUGCAAAGACAACAACUCCUUAAUCCCUUUGCUAUUAUCAAACUUUUGAAUAAUUUCUUUUACCUUUCCUAAAUUCCCUGCUCUAGCUGCAAGAUGAAGAGGAGAAUCCCCUCUUUUCCCUGGUGAU